GUCUCUGUCCUGCAGUGCAGAGGGAACGUGUCACAGGCCCUGUCCCGCAGUGCAGAGGGGACAUGUCAUAGUCCCUGUCCUGCAGCGCAGAGGGGACGUGUCACAGGCCCUGUCCCGCAGUGCAGAGGGGACAAUGGCCCGUGACACGUCCCCUCUGCCCUGCAGGACAGCAGCCCAUGACACACUACACACACACACCACCGCCACACACACUACACACACACACACACACACCACCCGCGUUGACUCAGCCAUCCCUCUCCUGAGUGAAACUCCGCCCGAUAUUGGAGACCAGCCUUUGCAAAGACAGGCAUGGCAGCGGGAUUGUCAUAGCGACUGACCAGGAGUGACCCGAAGGGCCACCAGCAGAGACCGGGAUGCAGCACGGGCAUGUUCCCAGGGGCAGCGAUGCCCUGAACCGCCGCCUCCGUGGCUGGCGGACGGGGCGGCCCCUGGCGUGAGUGGGCCGGGCUGAGUUUCACCCGGUCUGACCUUGCAGGAGACGUUUCUGCAGGAAGCGAGGUGGGGAACGGGGCAGCCCCUGCUUACGUCUUGAGGCGGGACUCCCUUGAGACCUCGUAUGUGACGCCCUUAAUUAAGCACAGCAAGCGCGGACAGACGGGGGAUGCCAUCCACGGGGCGAGGGGUGGCGCUGUCGUUGCUACUGGAGCCAGGCGCUAAGGCCACCGUCUGGGGACUAGAGGGCCCAUGCGAGGUGGCCGUGAGCUUCCCGAGGAGGUCAAGAUCGGGCAGACGACAGGCCGAUCCCGGGGUUGAGA